rnacentral:rRNA from 1 species
GAUGAACGCUGGCGGCGUGCCUAAUACAUGCAAGUCGAGCGAACAGACGAGGAGCUUGCUCCUCUGACGUUAGCGGCGGACGGGUGAGUAACACGUGGAUAACCUACCUAUAAGACUGGGAUAACUUCGGGAAACCGGAGCUAAUACCGGAUAAUAUAUUGAACCGCAUGGUUCAAUAGUGAAAGACGGUUUUGCUGUCACUUAUAGAUGGAUCCGCGCCGCAUUAGCUAGUUGGUAAGGUAACGGCUUACCAAGGCAACGAUGCGUAGCCGACCUGAGAGGGUGAUCGGCCACACUGGAACUGAGACACGGUCCAGACUCCUACGGAAGGCAGCAGUAGGGAAUCUUCCGCAAAGGGCGAAAGCCUGACGGAGCAACGCCGCGUGAGUGAUGAAGGUCUUCGGAUCGUAAAACUCUGUUAUUAGGGAAGAACAAAUGUGUAAGUAACUAUGCACGUCUUGACGGUACCUAAUCAGAAAGCCACGGCUAACUACGUG